rnacentral:tRNA from 1 species
GCCGUUGUGGCGCAAUGGUAGCGCGUCGCUUUCCUAAGGCGAAGGUUGCGGGUUCGAUCCCCGUCGGCGGUA